UAUCAUCACUGAUGACCAAGCUGAUUAGCUCUAGUGCAAGUGGGAGAUUGUUGGAAAUGUGCCCUAAAACCAAUCAUAUGAUGAUACUUUACGGACAUUUCACAUGUUAAACUAAUCUAGUUUAAUAUCAAGGGCAAAGAUUAUUGUUUAAGCCGUCUCAUAUAAAUGUUAUACGCUUAAACGAUAAGUCCAAGGAAUAUGUGAUUGGGAGAAUGCGAUCUAAAGAAGUUAGAUUCAUGAGACCAUUCUUUUGUAUACAUAUCCUAAACGUUCCUGAUCAUAGGAUUGCCAAUUGGGCAUUGACAGUCCGUUAAGAUCAGUACAUGCUAUGUCUUCUCUUAGGGAGAGUGACUAGUCUCGAG
rnacentral:lncRNA from 1 species